rnacentral:rRNA from 1 species
AUUGAACGCUGGCGGCAUGCCUUACACAUGCAAGUCGAACGGUAACAGGUCUUCGGAUGCUGACGAGUGGCGAACGGGUGAGUAAUACAUCGGAACGUGCCUAGUAGUGGGGGAUAACUACUCGAAAGAGUGGCUAAUACCGCAUGAGAUCUACGGAUGAAAGCAGGGGAUCGCAAGACCUUGUGCUACUAGAGCGGCCGAUGGCAGAUUAGGUAGUUGUUGGGAUAAAAGCUUACCAAGCCGACGAUCUGUAGCUGGUCUGAGAGGACGAUCAGCCACACUGGGACUGCGACACGGCCCAGACUCCGACGGGAGGCAGCAGUGAGGAAUUUUGGACAAUGGGCGAAAGCCUGAUCCAGCAAUGCCGCGUGCAGGAUGAAGGCCUUCGGGUUGUAAACUGCUUUUGUACGGAACGAAAAGCCCCGGGUUAAUACCCUGGGGUCAUGACGGUACCGUAAGAAUAAGCACCGGCUAACUACGUGCCAGCCGCCGCGGUAA